GCCUGGGUGGCUCAGUCGGUUGAGCAUCUGACUUUGGCUCAGGUCACAAUCUCGCAGUCUGUGAGUUCGAGCCCCACGUCGGGCU
rnacentral:tRNA from 1 species